rnacentral:tRNA from 1 species
GUUGGGGUUAGCUCAGUCGUUUAAGUGCCCGCUUCUCACGCCAGAGAUGCGGGUUCGAAUCCCGGCGCUGACA